UAACGCGUGAGUAACCUCGUCCUUUCAGGAGGGGAUAACGUUCUGAAAAGAACGCUAAUACCGCAUGAGACUACAGAGCUGCAUGGCUCAGUGGUCAAAGGAGCAAUCCGCUGAAAGAUGGACUCGCGUCCGAUUAGAUAGUAGGCGGGGUAACGGCCCACCUAGUCGACGAUCGGUAGCCGGACUGAGAGGUUGAACGGCCACAUUGGGACUGAGACACGGCCCAGACUCCUACGGGAGGCAGCAUG
rnacentral:rRNA from 1 species